UACGGAGGGUGCAAGCGUUAUCCGGAUUUACUGGGUUUAAAGGGUGUGUAGGCGGGUCUUUAAGUCAGUGGUGAAAUCUCCGAGCUCAACUUGGAAACUGCCAUUGAUACUAUUGAUCUUGAAUUUUGUUGAGGUAGGGCGGAAUAUGUCAUGUAGCGGUGAAAUGCAUAGAUAUGACAUAGAACUCCGAUUGCGAAGGCAGCUUACUAAGCAAAUAUUGACGCUGAGGCACGAAAGCGUGGGGAUCAAACAGG
rnacentral:rRNA from 1 species